AACUCUUUAACACAGCGAGGCAGGAAGGUGCCAGUGUUCCCAAUAAUUAGCAUCGUUUUUCAAACCUUCCAUCUCCAGCUUUAGUAGCUUCUUUUGUGCUUCGACACCAACUCCAACUUGGUUUAUUAAUCUGGAUUCAAUGUUUCCUCGCCUGCGUUUUCCAUAAGAGCUGCCAAAUUUUCUCAUUCGGUGAUUGGACGGUGCCAGCCACGCUCCCACUCCCCCAACGCGUUAACGAGCGAAUCUCUUUUCUGGCGGGAUCACUUCACCCUCACUCCUCCAACUUCCCUGUACGUACAAACGCUUUUACUCCCCCCAAGGAACAAGCUACCUCUCUCUCCUAGAAGAAAACGAUCCGAAUCGGAGCUUUCAUUUUUCUAGCUUACUCUGUUUUGCUCUGUUUAAAUUUACUCUUUUAAAACAGGCUUCGGCUGUGAGAAGAGAAUGGGAACGAGUUGGAACGAGGAGGGGACCAGCUUCUACUCAUUGUCCUGCCAGGAUCGACGACACUCGAAGCACAUCCAUGACAACGUCCACGGCAACAUCUACCUUGAUCCGUUCUUUUUGAAACUUGUCGACACUGAACAGUUUCAGAGACUUCGCGAUCUAAAGCAACUUGGUCUAACGCAGAUGGUGUACCCAGGGGCUGUGCAUUCUCGCUUUGAGCAUUCACUGGGAGUUUAUUGGCUAGCCGGUGAAGCCGUUCAUACAAUUAAAGCUCACCAAGGCUCGGAGAUCAACAUUGAGCGUAAUGAUAUCAGGACAGUGAAACUUGCUGGACUACUGCAUGAUGUUGGGCAUGGACCAUUCAGCCAUCUCUUUGAGCAAGAGUUUCUUCCUCGGGUUCUUAAGGGAUCUAAAUGGUCUCAUGAGGACAUGUCUGUGAAGAUGAUUGAUUAUAUUGUUGAUGCGCACUACAUUGAAAUAGACUCUGCAAUCCUCAAGAAUGUGAAGGAAAUGGUACUUGCUAGCUCUGAAACUGCUUCACAAAAGAUUAUGAGUGAGAAGCGUUUUUUAUAUGACAUUGUUGCAAAUGGUCGAAAUGGAAUAGAUGUUGAUAAAUUUGACUAUAUUGUACGUGAUUCCCGGGCUUGUGGCCUUGGCUGCAAUUUUCAGUUUCAGAGGUUAUUGGAAACAAUGCGAGUGAUGGGUGACGAGAUAUGUUACAGGGCAAAGGAUUAUCUAACUAUUCACAAGUUAUUUGCCACUCGAGCUGAUUUGCAUAGGACAGUUUAUACACAUGCUAAAGUAAAGGCAAUAGAGCUCAUGGUUGUAGAUGCUCUAACAUUGGCGAAUGAUGAACUGAGUAUAUCAGCAUCAAUUCAUGAACCAGCUAAAUUUUGCAAGUUAGACGACUCAAUAUUAAGACAAAUUGAAACUUCUGAUAAACAAGAGCUCAAGAAAGCCAGAGAUUUGAUCCUUCGCAUCCGGAGAAGAGAUCUAUACCAGGUAUCCUUCAACAAUAUAUGGAAUUCUGCAAUGAGUAUUCUGUUCCAAAGGACAAGCAGGAGAACUUCAAAGACAUCACUCCUCAAGAUAUUGUUUGUUCUCAGGAAAAUGGUGGUACCACAUUGAAAGAGGAAGAUGUUGCUGUGAGCAUUGUCAAAAUUGAUCUGACUCGUGGGAGCAGUAACCCUCUGGAAAGCAUCAAGUUUUUCCAGGAUUAUGAGAGUGAUUACAAAUUUCCAAUACGGGAUGAUGGCAUCAGUCAUUUGCUGCCUACAUUUUGUCAAGAUAUGAUUGUCAGAGUGUACUCCAAGAAGCCUGAACUGGUAGGAGCAGUUUCUGAGGCCUUUGAAAAUUUUCAGCUGAAAACAUAUGGCAUGAAAGCACAGGUGCAUGAUACUCCUGAGAAGAAGAAACGCCGCAAGUAAUCGAUAUGGCUGGCUACCUCCAUACACUCAUUUUAGAAAUGCAAAUACUUAAAAUGUUUGGUCUAUACAACAAACUAUUAGUAUAAAUAUUUUCUACACCUCGCACCACAUAAAUAGAACUAAGAGGCUUUCAAAAUAAUAAUAACAACAUUAGUAUAAGAAACCGGUUGUCUGUACUGUAACAGGUCUUUUCUCUUGAACAUGUUCUGCGUUGUAUCGUCAGAAAUCAUGCAACUUCAACUGAUGUUGAGAAAA